rnacentral:lncRNA from 13 species
CAGCCAGGAAGUGCUGUAGCCAGGAUUUAGCUCUAGGCAGCCUGACUCCACAACUCUGUUUUUAACUGUGAUGCUGAAGUUUUUCAAAUGAGAAGAGCUCACAAGCAUAAAAAAGGACCAGAACCUUGUCAGGACAGGGAGCUAAAGCCUCUGGGGCAAGCUUCCGCCUGCCUUCUUUCUGUCACAUGGAUAUGGGAGGUUAUGAUCUUGUAAAAGGAGAAAUCUGGAAGAGAAGUUAAUUUAAACUUAAGCAUAUAAUAACUGCCAUGGGAGUCUAACUUUUUGAGUGGGCCAUGCUCUAGCCCCUGGUGUGAAUCUUGUGAUAGGCUGUGCUUUCACAAAAUAGCACAGACAUUUGAAGCUGAGAGACAGUCUAUUGGUUCUCUGUCUUCUGGUGCAUUUGGACCACCUGAAAGGACAACCUGUCAGAAUGGAGGCCACACUCAUACACAGCUCUUAGGACUGUGGAAGACUGUCUGGGUCAGGGAUCAAGAUGAUCAUGCUCAAAAGACAACACAGAGUUCAGUGCCACACAAUUGCUGUGUUCUCUCUCCCCUAAUGACCAGAGACACUCUGUACCAUGCUGCCACUGCUGGAUGUUGGAAAGGGGUUCAUAGAAUAUUAUACUGUCCAGCUCCUGAACUUAGGUGUGGCCAUGUGACUAUUGUGACCAAUACAGUUAAAAGAAACAUCCUUUAAUUCUGGGUAGAAAUAUCAACCAUGGGCACUUGAUUCUCUAGCAUUCUGUUCUCCUGCUAGCAUGUUGUGAAAGCAUUUGUUAAUAUAGAGGUGCUGUAAGAUCCAAAGAGCAGAAAUUGCUGAGCCAACAGUGGAGGACAGCUCCUCAGAGAGUUGUCUGCAGAGAACUUAGUUGUUGGAGCUGGAGGUUGUUUGCUAUCACAGAAAACCUAACCUGUUUUUAUUUAUGCAUUUACUUCUGAUGGGUAAGAGAAGGGGCUCUAAAUAUUUAUGUUAACAUUCUUCACACUUGCAUCUUCUCAUUGAAUUAUCAAAACAGCCCCGUAAAUUGGUACCACAUUUACAUCGACUUUGUAGAUAAGGAUACAAUAGCUCAGGGAAGUGAAGUUGCACCAGGGCAGUAACUUCUAAAAGGGCAGAACUGGGGCUUAGCCCCAGGUCAGAGCCCAUGCUCCUUUGACCCUACACUCUGUUGCCUCCAGUAGUAUUUGUUCAUCUGCCAAGUAAAGCACUAAACACUUUCCUGUUUGACAUCACAGUCCUCACACAUCUGAUGAGCACCAGUUGUGUUCACAGCCUCAUCCCAGAUGGUUGCAUAAUAAAUUUAAUGAUAGAAGAGGUGUUAUUAUCUUC